GUGACAUGCCAUACCACCCUGAACGCGCCCGAUCUCGUCUGAUCUCGGAAGCUAAGCAGGGUCGGGCCUGGUUAGUACUUGGAUGGGAGAAAAUGUGACAUGCCAAGGAAUUAUUGGAAGUAAAUUAUA
rnacentral:rRNA from 1 species